CACGUAGGCACCAAGCGUUGUCCGGAUUUAUUGGGCGUAAAGAGCUCGUAGGCGGUUCGGUAAGUCGGGUGUGAAAACUUUGGGCUCAACCCAAAGCCUGCACUCGAUACUGCUGUGACUUGAGUCCGGUAGGGGAGUGGGGAAUUCCUGGUGUAGCGGUGGAAUGCGCAGAUAUCAGGAGGAACACCGGUGGCGAAGGCGCCACUCUGGGCCGGUACUGACGCUCAUGGGCGAAAGCGUGGGGAGCGAACAGG
rnacentral:rRNA from 1 species